CUGCAUACAAUCUGGCGCUCCCUAAACUAGUCCUACACAUCCUGUAAUUAGUCGCUUUUGAACCACCACACUGCUUUCACACUGCUCAAUUCUCAUCAAGAAAGUUUCUGUUCUUGGUGUCUGCUUCGUCCAACAAACUACGACGAAAUGGACGUUUUCCUACCACACCCAAUGUGCCGCUUUACUCUGCUACUGGAUGGUGGAGGAUCAGUGGAGGUCUAGCCUACUAAAUGGAUGGCAGGAAAGCACAGCACACAUGAAUUUCUAAAUGAAGAAGAAUGAAUAAAUGCACUUGCUUUUCAAACU